CUUACACAUGCAGUCGACGGUACNUGGGUGCUUGCACCCGAUGACGAGUGGCGGACGGGUGAGUAACGCGUAGGAAUCUGCCUGGUAGUGGGGGACAACUCGGGGAAACUCGAGCUAAUACCGCAUACGCCCUACGGGGGAAAGCGGGGGCUCUUCGGACCUCGCGCUAUCAGAUGAGCCUGCGUUGGAUUAGCUAGUUGGUGGGGUAAAGGCCUACCAAGGCGACGAUCCAUAGCUGGUCUGAGAGGACGAUCAGCCACACCGGGACUGAGACACGGCCCAGACUCCUACGGGAGGCAGCAGUGGGGAAUAUUGGACAAUGGGCGCAAGCCUGAUCCAGCAAUACCGCGUGUGUGAAGAAGGCCCGAGGGUUGUAAAGCACUUUCAAUUGGGAGGAAAAAGCAUGGGUUAAUACCUCAUGCCUUGACAUUACCUUUAGAAGAAGCACCGGCUAACUCCGUGCCAGCAGCCGCGGUAAUACGGAGGGUGCGAGCGUUAAUCGGAAUUACUGGGCGUAAAGCGUACGUAGGCGGUUAAUUAAGUCAGAUGUGAAAGCCCCGGGCUUAACCUGGGAACUGCAUUUGAAACUGGUUAACUUGAGUUUAGUAGAGGGGAGUGGAAUUUCAGGUGUAGCGGUGAAAUGCGUAGAGAUCUGAAGGAACACCAGUGGCGAAGGCGACUCCCUGGACUAAAACUGACGCUGAGGUACGAAAGCGUGGGUAGCA
rnacentral:rRNA from 1 species